AGCGAACGCUGGCGGCAGGCCUAAUACAUGCAAGUCGAGCGGCCCUUCGGGGCAGCGGCGGACGGGUGAGUAACGCGUGGGAACGUGCCCUUUGGUACGGAACAACUGAGGGAAACUUCAGCUAAUACCGUAUGUGCCCUUCGGGGGAAAGAUUUAUCGCCAUUGGAGCGGCCCGCGUUAGAUUAGCUAGUUGGUAGGGUAACGGCCUACCAAGGCGACGAUCUAUAGCUGGUCUGAGAGGAUGAUCAGCCACACUGGGACUGAGACACGGCCCAGACUCCUACGGGAGGCAGCAGUAGGGAAUCUUGCGCAAUGGGCGAAAGCCUGACGCAGCCAUGCCGCGUGAAUGAUGAAGGUCUUAGGAUUGUAAAAUUCUUUCACCGGGGACGAUAAUGACGGUACCCGGAGAAGAAGCCCCGGCUAACUUCGUGCCAGCCGCCGCGGUAA
rnacentral:rRNA from 1 species